AGAAAAAAGAAAUCCCGGUUGCUUUUGAAAUAUGCAGCCAGGACUUCGUGACCUGAAGCACGGCGAGGAUUCCUUCCAGGUGAGGUCUGGAUGGCGAUCCAAAGAGAGUGCUGUCGGCAGAAUUUUGUUUUAUGAACAGAGUUUGACCCUGCAGAUGUGUUAGAUAACGCCGUUGUUUCAGAUGUCAGGUGCUUUCGCUUAGUCCAGUUGUGUUGCAUUCCGUAGGCGUCCAAACAGCUGACACAAUUGCUGUCUGGCAGGUGACGUGCUUUUCUCUCACACCAUUUAAAGUUGAGGAAAACGGUGAGCUACUGGAAAGAGAUGGCAAUACCGGUUUCUAGGAAUACAAAUCAGGUCUUGCUGCUACGUAGGCCUGCCUCUUCAAUUCUCGUAAAUGCUUCAGGAAGUGAACAAAAGCAAGUCUCUUCUAACAUAAAAUGUCCUCAGCAGGCAAAUGUGUCCAGAGAAAAUGCAGAAGAUGCUUAUUUCAUUUGCGCUUCUGUGGUUGGAUUUGUUAUUUCAGAAACAUCUGCGCAUUGUAAGCGCCUCUGCUCACAUCUUUACGCUUAACGUUUUGGUUCGCAGCUCAAUCGCAUCGCUCGUCGUGUCAUGCAAACUUUAUUGCAUUCCGGCCAAAAACUUCUAGGUGUUUGCAGUGACGCUGGAAGAAAAAUCUUUCAGUGGCUAAAUCAGAUUUGAGAGGUGGGAAGGUUCUCCUUUCAGCAUUACAAUGGCCCUAAAGGCAGAAGUCACAUCUCUCGGUGCGAUCCGCUGCGUACUUUACUGUAAAGGCUGUGUGGUAUAAAUUUCCUCGCCUGUACCCACCCACUGGAGUCCGCCGGGACGUCCCAGCGGACCUGAAAUUUCUGGAUGCCAAAUACUUCCGGUCAGAGUGUGGCACCAAACACGGCAGACAAAGAAAACGGGAGGUCAGAUUACAAGCAGGAGAAGGAAAAACAAGAAGGGACACUUGUUUUAAGUAACACUGAAAGGAGAGAUGUGCUGUUUUUCACAGUGUGGAUUAUUUACCUCUCAAGUACGAGGUUGCAAAAACUGCAACGCAAAUCAUCGUAUCCUUCCUUUUCAGUUCUUUUGUUCGUCUCCUCUGUGUAGACAUUACAGAGGCUGCAUUGCUAUCAUUAUCUCCACUUAAGUGGCUGAAGAGAAAACUGUAUAACAUCUGAGCGUGACUGGGUCGCAGCGUGAAUAGUGGCUCAUGCUCGCAGCUCCAGACGUGACACAAGAUGGUUGAUUAAAAAAGAAAAACAUCCUGCACUUUCCAAAUCUGUACUUCAUUUAGGGGUAUCAAGUUCUGAGCUACUCCUUAUGUUGGCCCUGUCACAUGAAAUCCCAAUCAAGUAACACAGCGGAACGUGAAAAGAGUCGAAGCAACACGAAUCCUUCAGCAAGACUCUCCACCGUGAGGUUUCUGUUUCUCGGUAAAUUGUGUUUCAAAGAGACAGUAUUUAUUUUUGCUGUAAACGUGUUGAGAAGGGAGUGUUACACAUCUGCUGGUGUGGAUUUAGAGCCAACAUGAUUUAAGCCCCAGACAUACAGAAGGAGGCCUGGGUAUUUUAUUACCAGGCCUAAACAAACGCCUCCUUACAUACAGGCUCCUCUAUAGGUAGGGAGCAAGUCACAUGUAUGGGGAUAUUCCAGACACGUGACCGAUGGGAUUUGUGACGGAAACAAUUCUCCGUUUAAAGUCAUCAGAUUAUGCGCCAAACAAGCCGUAGAAGGCAUUUCUGUAAGGUUUUUGUAGUUUAUUUAAACAUUCCGCAUGAACAAGUUUUUUGUAGCUACACCCAUUCAGAUUGUAAAGCGAGACAAGCCUUACAUAAUACAUAGUCUAUAUUUGACCACUGAGCUCCAGAGAACUCCAGCUAUGCAACAACCGCCCCUCUUCUAGGUUACUGGGUGGGGGGUUGGAGACCAGUGGAGCUCACAUGGAUACAUGCAAGAAGGAACUGAGGUCCAUUACUAAAAAUACUCUCAAAUCCAAAUGGGGGCAGUUGACCAUACAGCCCCUAGCAAAAAGUAUUCAUAUCCCUUUGGCUUGGAUUUCAUGGGGAUAGACUAAUACAAAGUAGUGUAUGACUGUGAAGUGGAAUGAAAGGAAUGCCUGGGUUUCAACAUAUUUUAAAAAUAUAUUCGGUAAGCGUGUGUAAUGCCUGUGUACCCGGCCCCUCGGGUCAACACUUCUGUAAACCACUUUACAGCGCAACAACAACAACAACUGCAGGUCUUUUAGCUUAUUUAUGCAUAGGGAGUUGUGUUUUUGACAUUCUCCUUUGUAGGAUAGCUCCAGUGCAGUCAAAAAAGCUGGACUUUGACUGGAUCGCUAUAACGCAUGAAUAUCCUUUACUUCAGGAUCGACCUGUCUUCGCCGCAUCCACCUUUCCUGUCGCGUCUGAAAAGGUUCCCAACACGCGGAGAAGGCAAGCCUCACCGCAUCAUCAUGGUGGUAGGGAUGGCGGUUUUAGGGGAACUGGACCCCUUAUAAUUUUCUUCUUCCUAUAUGGCUUUCUUUUUGCCAUCCAUCCAUAAAGGCAGGAUUUAUGGAACCAGUAAAAAAAUAUUUGUCCCAUCUGAGCUAGGAAUUCUUUCAUCUGUCCGUUCUGGUUGACAACCAUUUUAGUUUGCUUUUCUUGACGGGUCUUGUCUCUUCCUUGGUUUUCAUGCUGCUGUUUGUUUACUAAUGUUGUCAAAUGUGGCCCUGGCUCGAACAGGACAGCUGGAUUUCAGCUGGGUGAUUUACUUAUUAGAUGACUUCUGAAGGCAGCUGCUUGAAUAGGAUUUUAUUUAGUAGCAGUAGAAUGAAUGACGGUGAUAAAAAGGUAAAGUCCAUUUUUUAUUGAUUUAUUUUACUUUUUGCGAACCUUGCGUCCUUUCACUGCCACUUUGCAUUUAACUGGUUACUGCUUGCUGAUAUAUUACAUAAGAUCCCAAUAAAAUUAGAGGCAGUUUGUGGUUGUAAUGUGAUAAAGUGUACUUUUGCAAGCCACUGUAUUUAUAACUCCAGGUUUUAUCAGUUAAGAUACUGGCAUCAUGGUUAUUAUCUCAACAACCAGGCAACAGCAGUCAUUUUCUUUAAUCUACUUCAGCAAUUGCCAACCGCCAAAUUUGCCAGCUUUUAGCUCAAUUCUCUACUUUAAUCUUAUUUGACGGUGCCCUAGAAGGCGUCCACACAGGUUGCGACGCUUCUACGCAAUGAUACUACUUGAGUCUCUGCCAUAUUUUGGUGUUUUUAUGUUCUUUGGCAUCUCCCUUAUCUGUGCUCCAAAGCACUCCUGUAAUAAAUCAAGCAGGAAGAGACGGGAGUCUGACGUCAGCAGCACGACUGCUUGCGUAAUCUUGGCCCUCAAGUCCCAUAGAUUUGUCAUAUGGAGCAAUCUGGCAAAGUAAACGGACUCUUAUCACACUCUUAUUCUCUCUAUGGAUGGUUGGAUCCAUCAUGUCCAGCCUGAAGGCUCCGCUCGGCCUCCGCCUGCCAUGUUGGGCAGUCAGAGUUGAAAACAAUAGAGAUUCGGAUCAACUCGAAUCAGUAAAUGCCGGCUGCUACAUUUGUAUUUCAGCUGUUCAAAAGCUUCACAUGACGCACUAUAACUAUAGCAAACACUCAGUUUCCUUCAGUAACACGUCCGUCGGUGUCAAAAUACGAGGGAGGGCAGGGGGAGUUUUCUGGGGGGAAUAAUUCACUGAAAUUGCAGGAAAGUUGACAGACGGGUGAGAAAAUUACCUCUACAACUCAUCCAGUGUGACAAACGGAGUGGUAUCACAAUUCAUCACGGUGACACCUAAGCGCUCAUUGUUUGUCAGUGUCAGUUUCCAGCCACGCUUUUACAACCUGCUGUGACGUCUGCUCGUGUCUGUGCGGCUGACAGAAAGAAGGCUGCGCCGCUGCACCGCUGCACUUCCUCUCGCUGCUCAACAGCAGAAAAACGCAACACUAACGUCUGCUGUUUUACUUCUUAACUAACUAGGCGGAACAACACCGGUUCACUAAGGUAAUUUAAAACUAUUUACCAGAGAUCGACGUCUUAAAUUUGUUUGCUCACGGGCAUCUCCGGUAAGAAAGUUGGUCUAAUGUACAGUUUAUUGAAGGUGUGUUUAAAUACGGGCUUCCUCACCGCACCUACAAGGCUCACAGUCUUAGUUGUUCUAGUUCCAGCAGGAUGUCAACCUGAGGGAUAAACAGAGCAUCCAGCAGAUUGCAGUACCUGCUUAAAUGGAGGAGCGUGGGGGCGGUAAAGGAUAGUUCAGGAUUUCAAAGGUGAGGUUUUCAAGUUGUCCAAAUGUGAGAUUAAUUGGUCACAGAGGCUGAAGACAAAAAGGCCCCAAGAUCCAAAUGGUAAAUGCCCUGUACUAGUGUUUUAUCUAGUCUAGAGGAUUUCAAAAGGGGGAGUCAUUCACCCAUUCAUGCAGACAUUCAAGCUGCUGAUGGUGGUAUGCUACACUGCAGCCAGAGCAGGCAAGGUGAGUGAAGCGCCUUGCUCAAGGGUACAGAACCUGAGAUGAGCUGAAUGGGGCUUUGAGCCGGAUACCCAGAUUACAGGACAAACUCCUACCUCCUGAGCGCCCACACAGACUUUUACAGUACCAAAGCAAUGUUGCAUUUUGUGACAAAACUUUAGUCAAAAAUAUAGAAAACUCACAAAAUUGUGUGUUUUUUUUUUUUUUGAUGAUUAGAAUAAAAAAAAUAAAUCAUGUUACAACAACGAGCAGAUUACUGCCUUGGGGUUUUCAUUUCGUAAAAAUCUAUAUUUGAAGUUUCUGGGCACUGAAGCUAACGGCUAAUUCAAGCCUUCUUCAAACAACUCCAAACUCAAAAACAUCCCAGCAGGCAAUGGAUGACUGUUUUCUUAACCUUUAAACCAUCGUCACGUGGUAGUUUUACUCAGAGGUCAAUAACUAUUUAUACAGGAAAUCGAAGCAGAACUCGGCGCUCCACCAACAACCUUUCUCUGAGAAAGUCUUACGACUGCAAACACAGAAGAGAAAUGAGUAAAAUAAAUGCAGUGUUGUGUAAAAAUCAACAAGUUUUCAUUUAGACCAAUGUUCCUAAUUUUUUAUGCUGCCUUACUCACUCUGAUCAGAAACGUUAUGCAUGUUCCUUUCUCAGUACGGUAAGAUCCCAGGGGGAACAUUCCCUUUCCUGUGUCAAUAACCAUCCAGUGAAGUUGUGAUAAUGAAUGAAAAGUUUUGUGAAACAGAGUUAUGAUGUAUUUGACACUAGAGUUGAUUCACAAUUAUAGAAAUCCACUUUGGUCGUGGCCCGUCGAAGACUAGCUGUCAGCUUCAGCUUUUAAUCAGGAUUUACAUUAAAUGAACUUGCAGAGAGUUAUACACAAACUGCUUAUAGCAUUUCAACAGUAUGUCACUUUAAACCCUAAUAUUUAAACAUGAACCAUUAUUGUUUUUUUUUGCCAAUUAAAUAAACAUCUUGCCUCUACAUCAACCUCGCUCCCUCUUACACGAAGCUGUGAGGGAACGUGAGAAUGUCAAAGGGGCUGACAUUUAUCUACAGCCCGCCGCCCCACCACCAAACGCUUUUAAAAAACUUUUCUCAUCCCUGCUCAGGGCCCUCGGCUGCAGACGCUGCUUCCUGGCUCUUCAGCGGCCGUGGAUGUUGUUGCCACAGAAACAGCGCGGUGUUGACAUCACAGUGCUUCAAGUGAUCUGCUGUGGAGACCAAAAAGCCAAAGCCUGAUGAUCACCGCCUGAGUCCUCGGAGGUUUGCGAGAAGCUGUUAGCCUCCAGCUGUGGACACAAGCUGAAACAUGCAUGAAACACAGAAGAAAAACACACACACAUGCAUACGCCCUUGUGUUUUGGAGAGAAGAUAAUGACGUGAACUGGCGCAUGUGAUUGUGUCUGUUUAAUGGCUGCAUUGCUGAAACAACAUGGGAUGAACUUUGGUCUGUUGUAAACAUUUUACGGGUGUGUAAACAUGCAGUGUGGAAAUGUAUGAUGAGCCGAUGAGGGGGUGUGGGGGGCAUUUUUAAUUAUUACCUUAAAAAGGGGAAAAUCCCCACCUCUGCUGUAUGCUGGAAUAAACAGAAACAAUCCAAAGGCCCAUCUCAUCACGGAGGGAGUAAUGUCUGCUAUUGUGAGUAAUGUCUAUGAUUGAGUCAGGUCCAUCAUUAUGAGACAUUUAGGGUAUUUAAGCCCGUAAUAGGCUCCAUUUAAGACGAGAUGAGGCGUAAAGACAAAGGCAGGUCCGACCGCAGGCCAGUCACAGAAGACCAGAGACUCUGGACACUCAAGAAACGUGCAGACAGCCCGCCUCAAACCGGUGCCGCACUUACAGUUCCUGGGAGAAAAGCUCACAAACGUUCUGUUUUCACUCCAGGAAUGUUUUUGUAAAAGGCACCAAAACAAAUAAAAUGCAUCCUGCCGCACAGAAAAAGAGGCACAGCGGAGAAAACCGGGAGGGCAAAGAAAAGGUUAUCUGAGCAACACCGAGCAAAUAAAAUUAGCAGGCGUUUUGUGCGGGGAGUUUGUUUUGAUGAAUGGACACAUCAAAGUCUAAAAGGUCACAGGUUUCUACUGUACCUGUUAAGACAUGCAAAUCUCCCCAUAGGAGAUCUAA